UACGGGGGGGGCAAGCGUUGCUCGGAAUUACUGGGCGUAAAGGGCUCGUAGGCGGCCCACUAAGUCAGACGUGAAAUCCCUCGGCUUAACCGGGGAACUGCAUCUGAUACUGGAUGGCUUGAGUUCGGGAGAGGGAUGCGGAAUUCCAGGUGUAGCGGUGAAAUGCGUAGAUAUCUGGAGGAACACCGGUGGCGAAGGCGGCAUCCUGGACCGACACUGACGCUGAGGAGCGAAAGCCAGGGGAGCAAACGGG
rnacentral:rRNA from 1 species